rfam:Glycine soja cultivar W05 scaffold208_24, whole genome shotgun sequence.
UUCUUAUUGGAUGAUGAUCGUCAUGUGUCAUGUUUUGAUUGGAUGUUAAUUUCAUGAAAGAUGAAAUGAAUUGUUUUUAUUGACCAAUCAGAACAUGACUUGUGGCAGUUAUCAUCC